UACGUAGGAUGCAAGCGUUGUCCGGAAUUAUUGGGCGUAAAGAGCUCGUAGGUGGCUUGUCGCGUCUGCCGUGAAAGCCCAUGGCUUAACUGUGGGUCUGCGGUGGAUACGGGCAGGCUGGAGGCUGGUAGGGGCAAGCGGAAUUCCUGGUGUAGCGGUGAAAUGCGCAGAUAUCAGGAGGAACACCGGUGGCGAAGGCGGCUUGCUGGGCCAGUUCUGACGCUGAGGAGCGAAAGCGUGGGGAGCGAACAGG
rnacentral:rRNA from 1 species